UACAGAGGGGGCAAGCGUUGUUCGGAAUUACUGGGCGUAAAGGGCGCGUAGGCGGCCCGCUAAGUCGAACGUGAAAUCCCCGAGCUCAACUCGGGAACUGCGUCCGAUACUGGCGGGCUUGAAUCCGGGAGAGGGAUGCGGAAUUCCAGGUGUAGCGGUGAAAUGCGCAGAUAUCGGGAGGAACACCAAUGGCGAAGGCAGCUCGCUGGGACGUUACUGACGCUGAGACGCGAAAGCGUGGGGAGCAAACAGG
rnacentral:rRNA from 1 species